UCAUUUCCAUGAUUGCCGUGAUCACCAUGGUCACCAUCACUUCCGUGAUCGCCGUGAUCGCCAUGGUCACCAUGACCCCCAUCAGCACUGUGACCACUGUGAUUAUCAAUUGACAGGAAGAAAAUAACACUCCAGCGCUUCGUAAACGGCUCCAAGAAGAAUGAUGCCAAUUGCUGAACCCAAAACUUCUUGCCAGUUUGUCGUUUGCCAUUUGUCGAAUAAAAUUGUCUCCGUAACGCCAAAGUGAAAUGACAUCUUCAAACAUUGGAUUCUCACAAAUAUAUACAGAUAUAGAUGUGCAUGGAUUAAAGUAAAACCCCGGAGCAUGCAAAUAAUUUCUCUUUAAGUAAUCGUAUACAUGGAACUGGAACUCGUAAAUAUAUAUCAACAAUCGUUAGUCUACUUUUGGAAUGUGGAAAAAUGAAGAGAGGAAAAAUUGUUUUUAAUAAACUGGAAUCGAUCCAAAUUGGAGAAAAUGUUCACAGUCCCGGGAGAGAUCAAUUAUUUAAAACCGCGAUGUUUUAAUGGUUCAAUAAUUGAGAAAAGUAUUUUUUUUUUGGAGUUAUGAAGUUCCGGAGUCUAUGGAAGAUUUCGAAUUCCAUUUUUCUUUCAAUCUGAUGCGGAUAUCACAAUGGCAAAACUUCUUUCAAAUUCAACAUGAUUUUAAGAUAUAUACAUACAUAUAGGAAUUGAAACUAAUAAAUCGACUUUAAAAAUUUUCAACAACGAACCGAGAACGGCUUGUAGAAUUUUUGGAGCUUAACUAAUUGCCAUUUUUACGCACACGUUUGAAAUACUAAAGGAAAAAAAAAUUUUUCUGCUCAUAUAACUUUUUUAAAUUUCAAUGCACAAUAUUGAGGAAAAUUCUCAUUGUAACAGAGAAAGAAGAAAGAAAAAAAAUUCUAUAUUGCAAUUUUAACGAGAAACUAUAAUAUUAAUUAGUCAGAAGAAUUUAAAUUUU